CGCACCUGCGGGCAGAGGGGCGGCUUAGGCCGGGCUUAGCUGCUCUGCAAGGCCCCCGUUCAUUUCUCACCGCCAAGCGUCGAGCAGGCUGUUCCUGUAAAGUUGGAGAGACCUCGUGUAAAAAUCCAGCACUUGAUGUCUGAACCAGGAAGAGUCUUUCACAAUCCCUUUUUCUAUUCAAACUGCGUUUACCUGAUUGCCAGCUAACAGGUCUCUACAUCAGAUCACUGCUGCUCACAGUGAACUCAGAACAUGCGAGAAGAGAAAAAUGAAGCUUCUCGUUCUCCCAAAUGGAUCUUUUAAGCAUGAAGCGGAUGUGAUGCCAGCAGAAUGUUAGCAGCUGCAUCCACUGAUACUGCUUUGACUUUUGAGAAGUACAACUCUCGACUGAAUUCAGCUGUCCUGCACCCACAAGGCUAUGGUUGAGAACCACAAGGCAAAUCCAGAGAGGAAGCAAUUCUUCCUGGCUGCUUUAAGAAUUCUUGACCAAGGAGGGACUUGGACAACACGGUGGUCAACUUGCUGAUUGCCAGUACGCUUUACUGCUCCAAACUGUGCUCAGUCUGAAUGAAUUUGAAGACAUGAAAAAACACAGCAUAGUGUAACAACGAAGGGACAAUACUGAGGUCUGGCCUUGCUGGCGUUAUUCAUGUGCUUGAAGUUACACAAGUAUUUUGUUCUGCCCACAAAUGGAAUGCAAGCAAGCUCACCACAGUAACUGGAGUGAGCAAAGAAAGACCGGGGAGGAGGUGAUUACAGCAAAGAUAUAUUUUAACCCACAAACCUGGAAAAAUAAAACCAUCCUUUUUUCAAUUUCAAAUCAUGUUUACUGAAGCAUAUUUCUCCUGAUUGCUCUAUAUAAAGUCCUUUCUAAUAUUAUGAUUGAUGCCUAUAAAUACACAGGCAGUGAGAUGGCAAUCACCAAGGAGGGAGAAGAGCUAUGAAUAAAUUUAGGCUUGAAAUUUAGAACAUUUCUAAUCAUCAGAAGAAUCAGGUUCU